CCUACGGGUGGCAGCAGUGGGGAAUAUUGGACAAUGGGGGGAACCCUGAUCCAGCCAUGCCGCGUGUGUGAAGAAGGCCCUCGGGUUGUAAAGCACUUUCAGUGAGGAAGAACGCCUGGUGGUUAAUACCCAUCAGCAAAGACAUCACUCACAGAAGAAGCACCGGCUAACUCCGUGCCAGCAGCCGCGGUAAUACGGAGGGUGCGAGCGUUAAUCGGAAUUACUGGGCGUAAAGCGCGCGUAGGUGGCCUGAUAAGCCGGUUGUGAAAGCCCCGGGCUCAACCUGGGAACGGCAUCCGGAACUGUCAAGCUAGAGUGCAGGAGAGGAAGGUAGAAUUCCCGGUGUAGCGGUGAAAUGCGUAGAGAUCGGGAGGAAUACCAGUGGCGAAGGCGGCCUUCUGGACUGACACUGACACUGAGGUGCGAAAGCGUGGGUAGCAAACAGGAUUAGAUACCCCUGUAGUC
rnacentral:rRNA from 1 species